CCUAUCUAAAAACUUAUCUAUAAUGACAUUACAUGUAAAUAAUCUAAAUGCAUUAAUUAAAAACUAGAGAUCAUCAGAAUGUGUUAAAAAUAAAUAUGCUGACUAAAGAAAGCCACCUGCUAUACACUUAUAUAUAAGAAUAAAAGUUAUAGAGCAGAUUGAAAGAAAAGAGUGGGAAAAGAUACCUCAUGCAAGCACUAAUCAAAGACAGCUGUGGUGUAUAUAUAAAAAAUCAGGCAAAGUAGAUUUGAAAGCAGAGAAACUUUUCAGGAAUAAUGAGGGCUGCUAAAUAAUUACGAUUGUCAAUUUUCCAGGGGAAUAUUGUCCCAAGUGUAUAUGAGAACACAGAGUUUCAAAACUCAUAAAAAAAAUUGGAUACGCAAGGUAAAAACAGAAAAAUCCAAUUAUAGUUGCCAACACUAACACUCCUCUCUCAGUAAUUGGUAGACUUAGUAGAAAACAAAUCAGCAAACAUAUUGGAGAAUUAAACCAUACCAUCCAGUAAUGGACCUAUUAACUUCAUAAUGCAAAAUAAAAAUUUAGGUAGAAGGCAAAGACAAAAAUUAAAAGAAAAGUAAGAUCAUGUCAUAACCAGGAAAUUAAGAGUAGUCCAGCAUAUAGAAGAGUGCUAUUAUUGGAAGAGUUAUUUAGUUAUUUUGAGACAUUUUUUGAAAGAGUUAUUUAGCUGGAAAUGACAGAAAGACUGAAAAUGGUGCAUCUGGAGGUGGAUCUUCCCUUGUCCAUAUUUAUUUUGUCUUUUUUUGAGGUCUAGGGUGUCUAUACUUCCUCUGAAUUACCUACAGUGUCUGACACAGAGCAUCUCCCCAGUGAAUAUGUACUAAAUGAGUAGAAAGUAAUUUAUAGAUUCAGAAGAGUUGUGCAAGAAUAAUGUUCAUUAUUUGACAAAUCCUUGAAUGUAGUGUUUGAAGGAAGACAAUAAGUCAAAGUUGACUUGAAAGGUAAGCCCAAGUCCAGACUCUUUUCUGUAAUCCCAGCACUUUGAGAGGCCAAGAUGGGCAGAUCCCGUGACACCAGGAGUUUGAGACCAGCCUGGACAACACAGUGAAACCCUGUCUCUACAAAAAAUACAAAAAUUAGCCAGGUGUGGUGGUAUGCAUCUGUAGUUCCAGCUACUCAGGAGGCUGAGGUGGGAGGAUCACUUGAAUCCGGGAGGCGGAGGUUUCAGUGAACAGAGAUCGCACCGGUGCCUGGACAACAAAGUGAGACCCUGUCAUAAAAUAAAAUAAAAUAAAAUAAAAUAAAAUAAUAAAAUAAAAUAAAAUAGUUAAACCCAGGCCGGGAGGGGUAGCUCACACAUGUAAUCACAGCACUUUGGGAGGCUGAGGUGGGCGGAUCACCUGAGGUCAGGAGUUUGAGACCAGCCUGGCCAACAUGGUGAAACCCCGUCUCUACUAAAAAUACAAAAAUUAGCUGGGCGUGGUGGCAAGCACCUGUAGUCCCAGCUACUCAGGAGGCUGAGACAGGAGAAUUACUUGAACCCGGGAGACAGAGGUUGCUAUGAGCCAAGAUCUCACCAGUGCAGUACAGCAUGGGUGACAGAGCGACACUCUGUCAAAAAAAAAAAAAAAAAAAAAAAAAAAAAAACUCCAAAAAGUAAGUAAAGAGGAGGUUUGGAAUUAGAUAUUUGUUGUAUGAAUGAAUGGGCUAAAGUGCAAAAGAACGGGCAGAAUAACUGAGCUGGUACAGAGGGAAAAAAUCACAUUUAAAAUCUAAAAAUAUCUGCUUCUUAGUUCAGGCUUUCCCACUUAGCAGCUUUGGCACCUUAGGAACACUUAACUUAUCUGAGCCUCUGUUACUUCUAAAAAGUGCAUGAAGUGCAGACUAAGACAUAGUUUUUUUGGCAAAAUUCAGUCAGACUACAUCAAGUAAACUCCCUAAGUCUCCUAGUAUAAUUCAUGGCACAAAAAAUUGGGGAAAAAACAGGGAGGAUAUGAUUAUAAGUUCAGUUUAUGUUUUUUGUUGAGUGAAUGUCUCCAGUCAUAUAGAUGCAAGUGUAGAUACACAGUAAGAGUAGUAUGAAUGGGAGGCACCUUGGAAGGCUAUUUCUUCCUUCAUUCAUUCAGUUGGUCACUCAGUGAACUAUCAUGAAUUGAGCACCACCUCUGUUUCUUAUCAACAAAGGAGACUGCGGAAAAGAAGAGUGACUAAGAUCUCUGAAGAAGGGAAAAGCUAGAUGACUGGGCCACAGGAGGAAAAAAAGCAGCAAGACAGUUACAGUUGUUUCUGGUCCCACUUUUAUAAACACACACGCACACACACAGACACACGCACACACACAAAAUCAUUUAAUCAUUUUUAAGUAUUUAAUCAUUUUUUAAAAAUCUGUGAUGCUUUACCUGGGCAGGUCUAGGCAGGUCCUCCUUUGCUGGGACGUGCCCUUUUCUGUCCCGGAAUACUCUAAACUUGACAUUUUGGCAGCGUGAAGUUUUCCCGUUGUGACUUUCUCCUUGUUCCCUUUUCUCCUCCUUCUUUGCAGAGAAUGAGUAGCCACUGCUGUUUGCCCUGGCCCAUCAAUGAGAAGAUCUGCUCUUAGAGCCCUGCUUUCCUGCUGAAGGCCCCGAAAUCACCUGUGUUCCAGGCCACCCGCUAACAAUAAAUAAUGCUCCCCUGAUGUGGGGAAUUAGCUCAAGUGGUAGAGCGCUUGCUUAGCAUGCAAGAGGUAGUGGGAUCGAUGCCCACAUUCUCCAAGCUUUAUUAUUUAGACAUCGUGUCUCCAAACACUCAGGUCUCCAAACCCAAGUUAGUGUCUGAGAACAGGAUGCUGCUUUGGUUCAAGACGUAGGAGCAGCAAUAAUAGAGGGCUGGUGAUGGCUCCCUCUUGGCAUUCAGUAUAGUGUAGAUCUACCAUGUAAUUAAUUCUCUGUUUCUUUGAGGAGCUGUGAAACCAAGGGACAUAUACAACUGCUCUUUUCUCCCUGUUUCUACCUGCAGCUUUGUCCUAAAUGUGAGACAAUUAUGAAAAGUGCAGGGCAGAGCCACUUGGGUAAAUACAGCCCCGGCUUUCUGCUCAGGGGACAGAGUUUGAGGCACUGCAGAGGAACCAGCCAAAGUAUGAGACCCAUAUGUUGAGAGUGACAGUGUAAAGUUCAAAAAAAUCAAAAUGUUUAAAGAUUUAUCAUGGGUCUUGAUGACAUGAUGGAAUCUCUCUACUCUCUGGACUGAUUAUGUGUGGUAAUAAAUUUACUUUUUAAAAGCCA
rnacentral:tRNA from 1 species